AUUGAACGCUGGCGGCAUGCCUUACACAUGCAAGUCGAACGGUAACGCGGGGCAACCUGGCGACGAGUGGCGAACGGGUGAGUAAUAUAUCGGAACGUGCCCAGUCGUGGGGGAUAACUGCUCGAAAGAGCAGCUAAUACCGCAUACGACCUGAGGGUGAAAGCGGGGGAUCUUCGGACCUCGCGCGAUUGGAGCGGCCGAUAUCAGAUUAGGUAGUUGGUGGGGUAAAGGCCUACCAAGCCGACGAUCUGUAGCUGGUCUGAGAGGAUGACCCCCCCACACUGGAACUGAGACACGGACCAGACUCCUACGGGAGGCAGCAGUAAGGAAUAUUGGUCAAUGGAGGGAACUCUGAACCAGCCAUGCCGCGUGCAGGAAGACAGCCCUCUGGGUCGUAAACUGCUUUUAUUCGGGAAUAAACCUUUCUACGUGUAGGAAGCUGAAUGUACCGAAGGAAUAAGGAUCGGCUAACUCCGUGCCAGCCGCCGCGGU
rnacentral:rRNA from 1 species